rnacentral:rRNA from 1 species
CCUACGGGAGGCAGCAGUGGGGAAUAUUGGACAAUGGGGGGAACCCUGAUCCAGCGACGCCGCGUGAGUGACGAAGUAUUUCGGUAUGUAAAGCUCUAUCAGCAGGGAAGAAAGAAAUGACGGUACCUGACUACGAAGCCCCGGCUAACUACGUGCCAGCAGCCGCGGUAAUACGUAGGGGGCAAGCGUUAUCCGGAUUUACUGGGUGUAAAGGGAGCGUAGACGGCGAUGCAAGUAUGAAGUGAAAGGCGGGGGCCCAACCCCCGGACUGCUUUGGAAACUGUAUGGCUGGAGUGCAGGAGAGGUAAGUGGAAUGCCUAGUGUAGCGGUGAAAUGCGUAGAUAUUAGGAGGAACACCAGUGGCGAAGGCGGCUUACUGGACUGUAACUGACGUUGAGGCUCGAAAGCGUGGGGAGCAAACAGGAUUAGAUACCCCUGUAGUC